GUUGUCCAUUAUUUCCCUCUUAGCCUCUCAGCAGAUCAGGUCCCAUGUUGUCCAUUAUUUCCCUCUUAGCCUCUCAGCAGAUCAGGUCCCAUGUUGUCCAUUAUUUCCCUCUUAGCCUCUCAGCAGAUCAGGUCCCAUGUUGUCCAUUAUUUCCCUCUUAGCCUCUCAGCAGAUCAGGUCCCAUGUUGUCCAUUAUUUCCCUCUUAGCCUCUCAGCAGAUCAGGUCCCAUGUUGUCCAUUAUUUCCCUCCUAGCC